CCUACGGGAGGCAGCAGUAAGGAAUAUUGGUCAAUGGAGGCAACUCUGAACCAGCCAUGCCGCGUGCAGGAAGACGGCCCUAUGGGUUGUAAACUGCUUUUGAACUAGAGAAAACCUUGGUACGUGUACCGAGUUGAUAGUAUAGUUAGAAUAAGCAUCGGCUAACUUCGUGCCAGCAGCCGCGGUAAGACGAAGGAUGCAAGCGUUAUCCGGAUUCAUUGGGUUUAAAGGGUGCGUAGGCGGACUGAUAAGUCAGUGGUGAAAUCUCUCAGCUUAACUGAGAAACUGCCAUUGAUACUGUUAGUCUAGAGUACAGAUGAUGUGGGCGGAAUAUGACAUGUAGUGGUGAAAUACUUAGAUAUGUCAUAGAACACCGAUUGCGAAGGCAGCUCACAAAACUGUAACUGACGCUGAGGCACGAAAGUGCGGGGAUCAAACAGGAUUAGAUACCCUGAUAGUCCGCACCGUAAACGAUGAUUACUCGUUGUUGGCGAUAUGACAGUCAGCGACCAAGCGAAAGCGAUAAGAAUCCACCUGGGGAGUACGCCGGCAACGGUGAAACUCAAANAGAGUUAGAGNGNGAGAGNGCGACGGACGACGAGAGGGAGAG
rnacentral:rRNA from 1 species